CAGCCGCCACGGGAAUACGGAGGGUGCAAGCGUUAAUCGGAAUUACUGGGCGUAAAGCGCACGCAGGCGGUCUGACAAGUCAGAUGUGAAAUCCCCGGGCUUAACCUGGGAACUGCAUUUGAAACUGUCAGGCUGGAGUCUUGUAGAGGGGGGUGGAAUUCCAGGUGUAGCGGUGAAAUGCGUAGAGAUCUGGAGGAAUACCGGUGGCGAAGGCGGCCCCCUGGACAAAGACUGACGCUCAGGUGCGAAAGCGUGGGGAGCAAACAGGAUUAAAUACCCGUGUAGUCCCUGUCUCUUAUAA
rnacentral:rRNA from 1 species